AACCCUCGACCUUAGUUGCCAGCAUUCAGUUGGGCACUCUAAGGUGACUGCCGGCUAAAAGUCGGAGGAAGGUGGGGAUGACGUCAAAUCAUCAUGCCCCUUAUGACCUGGGCUACACACGUGCUACAAUGGGCGGUACAAAGGGUCGCGAACCCGCGAGGGGAGCCAAUCCCAAAAAGCCGCUCUCAGUUCGGAUUGCAGGCUGCAACUCGCCUGCAUGAAGCCGGAAUCGCUAGUAAUCGCGGAUCAGCAUGCCGCGGUGAAUACCGUUCCCGGGCCUU
rnacentral:rRNA from 1 species